UCUUUGACUGUUGGAUGUUA
rnacentral:miRNA from 1 species